AACAUAAGAUUGGGGCAUUUUUGCAUCAAAUCUUGGAAACGAUCCCACGCCUAAGCGAAACUCUCCCCAUUAACUUUCCGAAAUUGCAAAAUAUCAUUACGAAGCUU